AGUGAACGCUGGCGGUAUGCCUAACACAUGCAAGUCGAACGGCAGCACAGUAAGAUCUUGCUUUUACCGGUGGCGGGUGGCGGACGGGUGAGGAAUACAUCGCAAUCUACUUUUUCGUGGGGGACAUCGUAGGGAAACUGAUGCUAAUACCUCAUAUGUUCUACGGGAGGAAGCAGUGGAUCUUCGCACCUUUCGCGUUUGUAAGAGCCGGUGUCGUAUUAGCUAGUUGGCGAGGUAAAGGCCCACCAAGCCAACGAUCCGUAGCUGGUCUGAGAGGAUGAUCGGCCACACUGGAACUGAGACACGGUCCAGACUCCUACGGGAGGCAGCAGUGGGGAAUAUUGCACAAUGGGCGAAAGCCUGACGCAGCAAUGCCGCGUGAGUGAAGAAGGCCUUCGGGUUGUAAAGCCCUUUUAUUGGGAAAGAAAAGCAGCAGGAUAAUACCCCGAUGUUCUGACGGUACCCAAAGAGUAAGCAACGGCUAACUUCGUG
rnacentral:rRNA from 1 species